UACGUAGGGGGCUAGCGUUGUCCGGAAUCAUUGGGCGUAAAGCGCGUGUAGGCGGUUCGGUAAGUCCGCUGUGAAAGUCGGGGGCUCAACCCUCGGAAGCCGGUGGAUACUGUCGAGCUAGAGUACGGAAGAGGCGAGUGGAAUUCCUGGUGUAGCGGUGAAAUGCGUAGAUAUCUGGAGGAAUACCGGUGGCGAAGGCGGCAUCCUGGACCGGCAUUGACGCUGAUGAGCGAAAGCUAGGGGAGCAAACGGG
rnacentral:rRNA from 1 species